rnacentral:rRNA from 1 species
GGCCCACCAAGGCGACGAUGCAUAGCCGAACUGAGAGGUUAAUCGGCCACAUUGGGACUGAGACACGGCCCAAACUCCUACGGGAGACAGCAGUUAGGAAUAUUCGUCAAUGGGGGGAACCCUGAACGAGCAAUGCCGCGUGAGUGAUGACGGUCCUCUGGAUUGUAAAACUCUGUUGUUUGGAAAGAACUGUAAGAAGAGGAAAUGCUUCUUACUUGACGGUACCAUUCAAGAAAGCCACGGCUAACUACGUGCCAGCAGCCGCGGUAAUACGUAGGUGGCGAGCGUUAUCCGGAUUUAUUGGGCGUAAAGCGUCCGCAGCCGGUUUAUUAAGUCUAGAAUAAAAGCCUGGAGCUUAACUCCAGUUCGUUCUAGAAACUGAUAUACUUGAGUGUAGUAGAGGCAAAUGGAAUUUCUAGUGUAGCGGUAAAAUGCGUAGAUAUUAGAAGGAACACCAGUGGCGAAGGCGAUUUGCUAGGCUAUUACUGACGGUCAGGGACGAAAGCGUGGGGAGCAAAUAGGAUUAGAUACCCUAGUAGUCCACGCUGUAAACGAUGAGUACUAAGUGUCGGGUUACCGGUGCUGAAGUUAACACAUUAAGUACUCCGCCUGAGUAGUACGGUCGCAAGGCUGAAACUCAAAGGAAUUGACGGGCACCCGCACAAGCGGUGGAGCAUGCUGUUUAAUUCGACAAUACGCGAAGAACCUUACCUAGACUUGACAUCCCCGGCAAAGCUAUAGAAAUAUAGUGGAGGUUACCCGGGUGACAGAUGGUGCAUGGUUGUCGUCGGCUCGUGUCGUGAGAUGUUUGGUUAAGUCCAACAACGAGCGCAACCCUCGUCUUAAGUUACUAACAUUAAGUUGAGCACUCUUAAGAUACUGCCAGUGCAAGCUGGAGGAAGGUGAGGAUGACGUCAAAUCAUCAUGCCUCUUACGUCUAGGGCUACAGGCGUGCUACAAUGGCCGAUACAACGAGAAGCAAUACGGCGACGUAAAGCAAAACUCUAAAAGUCGGUCCCAGUUCGGAUUGGAGUCUGCAACUCGACUCCAUGAAGUUGGAAUCGCUAGUAAUCCCGAAUCAGAAUGUCGGGGUGAAUACGUUCCCGGGUGUUGCACACACCGCCCGUCAA